ensembl:snRNA U6 U6 spliceosomal RNA
GUGCUCUCUUCGGCAGCACAUACACUGAAAUUGGAACUAUACAGAGAUUAGCAUGGCCCAUGUGCAAGAAUGACAUGUAAAGUCAUUUUCAAGACUGACUAUUCUU